rnacentral:rRNA from 1 species
CCGAGUUAUUCAACUCAUCAACCCUGUGAACUUACCUAAACGUUGCUUCGGCGGGAAUAGACGGCCCUGUAAAACGGGCCGCCCCCGCCAGAGGACCCUUAACUCUGUUUCUUAUAAUGUUUCUUCUGAGUAAAACAAGCAAAUAAAUUAAAACUUUCAACAACGGAUCUCUUGGCUCUGGCAUCGAUGAAGAACGCAGCGAAAUGCGAUAAGUAAUGUGAAUUGCAGAAUUCAGUGAAUCAUCGAAUCUUUGAACGCACAUUGCGCCCGCCAGUAUUCUGGCGGGCAUGCCUGUUCGAGCGUCAUUACAACCCUCAGGCCCCCGGGCCUGGCGUUGGGGAUCGGCGGAGCGCCCCUCGUGGGCGCACGCCGUCCCCCAAAUACAGUGGCGGUCCCGCCGCAGCUUCCAUCGCGUAGUAGCUAACACCUCGCGACUGGAGAGCGGCGCGGCCACGCCGUAAAACACCCCAACUCUUCUGAAGUUGACCUCGAAUCAGGUAGGAAUACCCGCUGAACUUAAGCAUAUCAAUAAGCGGAGGAAAAGAAACCAACAGGGAUUGCCCCAGUAACGGCGAGUGAAGCGGCAACAGCUCAAAUUUGAAAUCUGGCUCUCGGGCCCGAGUUGUAAUUUGUAGAGGAUGCUUUUGGUGAGGUGCCUUCCGAGUUCCCUGGAACGGGACGCCAUAGAGGGUGAGAGCCCCGUCUGGUUGGACGCCGAACCUCUGUAAAGCUCCUUCGACGAGUCGAGUAGUUUGGGAAUGCUGCUCUAAAUGGGAGGUAUAUGUCUUCUAAAGCUAAAUACCGGCCAGAGACCGAUAGCGCACAAGUAGAGUGAUCGAAAGAUGAAAAGAACUUUGAAAAGAGAGUUAAACAGUACGUGAAAUUGUUGAAAGGGAAGCGCUUGUGACCAGACUUGGGCUUGGUUGAUCAUCCGGGGUUCUCCCCGGUGCACUCUUCCGGCCCAGGCCAGCAUCAGUUCGCCCUGGGGGACAAAGGCUUCGGGAACGUGGCUCUCUCCGGGGAGUGUUAU